CCUACGGGAGGCAGCAGUAGGGAAUCUUCCACAAUGGGCGAAAGCCUGAUGGAGCAACGCCGCGUGUGUGAUGAAGGGUUUCGGCUCGUAAAACACUGUUGUAAGAGAAGAAUGACAUUGAGAGUAACUGUUCAAUGUGUGACGGUAUCUUACCAGAAAGGAACGGCUAAAUACGUGCCAGCAGCCGCGGUAAUACGUAUGUUCCAAGCGUUAUCCGGAUUUAUUGGGCGUAAAGCGAGCGCAGACGGUUAUUUAAGUCUGAAGUGAAAGCCCUCAGCUCAACUGAGGAAUUGCUUUGGAAACUGGAUGACUUGAGUGCAGUAGAGGAAAGUGGAACUCCAUGUGUAGCGGUGAAAUGCGUAGAKAUAUGGAAGAACACCAGUGGCGAAGGCGGC
rnacentral:rRNA from 1 species